UACGUAGGGGGCUAGCGUUGUCCGGAAUCAUUGGGCGUAAAGCGCGUGUAGGCGGUUCGGUAAGUCCGCUGUGAAAGUCGGGGGCUCAACCCUCGAAUGCCGGUGGAUACUGUCGGACUAGAGUACGGAAGAGGCGAGUGGAAUUCCAGGUGUAGCGGUGAAAUGCGUAGAUAUCUGGAGGAACACCGGUGGCGAAGGCGGCAUCCUGGACCAACACUGACGCUGAGGAGCGAAAGCCAGGGGAGCAAACGGG
rnacentral:rRNA from 1 species